AACGAACGCUGGCGGCAUGCCUAACACAUGCAAGUCGAACGAAGGCUUCGGCCUUAGUGGCGCACGGGUGCGUAACGCGUGGGAAUCUGCCCCUCGGUUCGGAAUAACAGUUAGAAAUGACUGCUAAUACCGGAUGAUGACUUCGGUCCAAAGAUUUAUCGCCGAGGGAUGAGCCCGCGUAGGAUUAGGUAGUUGGUGGGGUAAAGGCCUACCAAGCCGACGAUCCUUAGCUGGUCUGAGAGGAUGAUCAGCCACACUGGGACUGAGACACGGCCCAGACUCCUACAGGAGGCAGCAGUGGGGAAUAUUGGACAAUGGGCGCAAGCCUGAUCCAGCAAUGCCGCGUGAGUGAUGAAGGCCUUAGGGUUGUAAAGCUCUUUUACCCGGGAUGAUAAUGACAGUACCGGGAGAAUAAGCUCCGGCUAACUCCGUGCCAGCAGCCGCCGCCGUAA
rnacentral:rRNA from 1 species